rnacentral:rRNA from 1 species
UUUUAUAAUAGAUAUUUUCUGCCCGGUGAUUUUUAACGGCCGCGGUACUCUGACCGUGCAAAGGUAGCGUAAUCAUUUGUCCUUUAAUUGAGGGCUGGUAUGAAAGAAAGUUUGAGGGCUUAGCUGUCUCUUUUUUUUGUUAGAAAUUGCUGUUUUUGUGAAGAAGCAAAAGUUUAAAAAAAAGACAAGAAGACCCUAUUAAGCUUUACUUUUUUUUAUUUAUUGUUUUCUUUUAAGUAAUGACGGUAUUUAUAUUGAAAGUUUGGUUGGGGUGACUAAAGAAGACAAAAUCUUCUUUUGAAUAAAUAACUUUAUGUUUAAAAAUGACCCAAAAUUUUUUGGUUGUAAGAACUAGUUACUAUAGGGAUAACAGCGUAAUUUUUUCAUAAAGUUCUUAUUGAAGAAAAAGAUUGCGACCUCGAUGUUGACUUGUCAUUACCC